AGUUGAUCAGUCGGCUCAGGACGAACGCUGGCGGCGUGCCUAACACAUGCAAGUCGAGCGAGUAAAUCUCCUUCGGGAGUGAAGCUAGCGGCGGACGGGUGAGUAACACGUGGGCAACCUGCCUCAUAGAGGGGAAUAGCCUUCCGAAAGGAAGAUUAAUACCGCAUAAGAUUGUAGCUUCGCAUGAAGUAGCAAUUAAAGGAGCAAUCCGCUAUGAGAUGGGCCCGCGGCGCAUUAGCUAGUUGGUGAGGUAACGGCUCACCAAGGCGACGAUGCGUAGCCGACCUGAGAGGGUGAUCGGCCACAUUGGGACUGAGACACGGCCCAGACUCCUACGGGAGGCAGCAGUGGGGAAUAUUGCACAAUGGGGAAACCCUGAUGCAGCAACGCCGCGUGAGUGAUGACGGCCUUCGGGUUGUAAAGCUCUGUCUUCAGGGACGAUAAUGACGGUACCUGAGGAGGAAGCCACGGCUAACUACGUG
rnacentral:rRNA from 1 species